rnacentral:rRNA from 1 species
UACGAACCGUACAAACGUUAUUCGGAAUCACUGGGCUUAAAGGGUGCGUAGGCGGCCAUGUAAGUGAGGUGUGAAAUCCCUCGGCUCAACCGAGGAACUGCGCUUCAUACUGCAUGGCUUGAGGGAGACAGGGGUAAGCGGAACUGAUGGUGGAGCGGUGAAAUGCGUUGAUAUCAUCAGGAACACCGGUGGCGAAAGCGGCUUACUGGACCCGAUCUGACGCUGAGGCGCGAAAGCCAGGGGAGCAAACGGG